GGAGAGGUGCCGGAGCGGCCGAACGGGCUCGUCUCGAAAACGAGAGUGGCUGAAAGGUCACCGAGGGUUCGAAUCCCUCCCUCUCCU
rnacentral:tRNA from 1 species